rnacentral:rRNA from 1 species
ACAUGCAAGUCGAACGCCCUAGCAAUAGGGAGUGGCAGACGGGUGAGUAACGCGUGGGAACGUACCCUUCGGUCUGGAAUAACCCAGGGAAACUUGGGCUAAUACCGGAUACGUGCGAGAGCAGAAAGAUUUAUCGCCGAAGGAUCGGCCCGCGUCCGAUUAGCUAGUUGGUGAGGUAAAAGCUCACCAAGGCGACGAUCGGUAGCUGGUCUGAGAGGAUGAUCAGCCACACUGGGACUGAGACACGGCCCAGACUCCUACGGGAGGCAGCAGUGGGGAAUAUUGGACAAUGGGCGAAAGCUGGAUCCAGCCAUGCCGCGUGAGUGAUGAAGG